UUAUGUCAUAGGACCGCCGGUGUAAGCUAAACGAGUGCGCAUGCCAUUUUGUCUUCCAUAAAGACAACAAGCUAAAAAUGCCUUCCGAUCCCUGGAUGAGCAAACAUGACAACUGUGCCAAGUUGGGUCAUGAACUCUUUGUUGAACUCAACAAGAGAGAUAAACAUCCACGAACAAGUUCUGCUUACACUAAGCUCAACUCACAGAUCCGUACAUCUAUGAAGAAAUUCUCCAAUGAUGUUGCCCAGUUGAAACCAAUGCUUAUACAACGCUCAGCCUUGCA
rnacentral:lncRNA from 1 species